GGAACAGUUGGCAGCACCCUCUAAACCAUUGUCCAGAGGAGAUGAAAUAAUCCCCCGUCUAUUGGUGGGACCAAUCCCAUCAGUCCACCAACCUGAGGAGGAAGGGCUGGUUAUACAAUCCAUGAGUGUUCCUGUUCCUGGGAGAGGAUGAUAUGAGAUUUGUGCCAAGAGAUGAGAAUUUCCAUCCUGUUUGGAUUAUGCUGGAAUGCUUUUGGAAGAUACGUAAGAGAAGAAAACAGUAUGAUUC
rnacentral:lncRNA from 1 species